rnacentral:rRNA from 1 species
UGGGGGAUAUUGCACAAUGGGCGCAAGCCUGAUGCAGCGACGCCGCGUGAGGGAAGACGGUCCUCUGGAUUGUAAACCUCUGUCGGAAGGGACGAAGAACGUGACGGUACCUUCCGAGGAAGCUCCGGCUAACUACGUGCCAGCAGCCGCGGUAAUACGUAGGGAGCAAGCGUUGUCCGGAAUUACUGGGUGUAAAGGGAGCGUAGGCGGGAUUGCAAGUCAAGUGUCAAAUCUAUCGGCUUAACCGAUAGCCGCGCUUGAAACUGCAGUUCUUGAGUGAAGUAGAGGCAGGCGGAAUUCCUAGUGUAGCGGUGAAAUGCGUAGAUAUUAGGAGGAACACCAGUGGCGAAGGCGGCCUGCUGGGCUUUUACUGACGCUGAGGCUCGAAAGCAU